UGGAGAAUAUUGGACAAUGGACCAAGAGUCUGAUCCAGCAAUUCUGUGUGCACGAUGAAGUUUUUCGGAAUGUAAAGUGCUUUCAGUUGGGAAGAAAGAAAUGACGGUACCAACAGAAGAAGUGACGGCUAAAUACGUGCCAGCAGCCGCGGUAAUACGUAUGUCACGAGCGUUAUCCGGAUUUAUUGGGCGUAAAGCGCGUCUAGGUGGUUAUGUAAGUCUGAUGUGAAAAUGCAGGGCUCAACUCUGUAUUGCGUUGGAAACUGUAUAACUAGAGUACUGGAGAGGUAAGCGGAACUACAAGUGUAGAGGUGAAAUUCGUAGAUAUUUGUAGGAAUGCCGAUGGGGAAGCCAGCUUACUGGACAGAUACUGACGCUGAAGCGCGAAAGCGUGGGUAGCAAACAGGAUUAGAUACCCUGGUAGUCCACGCCGUANCGAUGAUUACUAGGUGUUGGGGGUCGAACCUCAGCGCCCAAGCAAACGCGAUAAGUAAUCCGCCUGGGGAGUACGUACGCAAGUAUG
rnacentral:rRNA from 1 species